CAGUGUCACCUAAAACCAAACCAACUGAGAUGUCAAUUCCUAGAUUGUCAAAACCCACGUUAACCUCCACUCCCAAAUUGUCUAACCCGACAUCAACCUCCACUCCCAGAUUGUCAAGGCCAACAUCAACCUCCACUCCCAGAUUGUCGAAACCGAUAUCAACUGCUACAGUGAUGUAUGCGUCUCGAUCCUCAACAAAUAAGCCGAAUGUUUCAUCAUUACCAAGAAGCAAAAAUUCUUCUU
rnacentral:lncRNA from 1 species